UACUCGAGUGGCGAACGGGUGAGUAACACGUGGGUGAUCUGCCUUGCACUCUGGGAUAAGCUUGGGAAACUGGGUCUAAUACCGGAUAGGAACCGUCUUUAGUGUGGUGGUUGGAAAGUUUUUUCGGUGCAAGAUGAGCUCGCGGCCUAUCAGCUUGUUGGUGGGGUAAUGGCCUACCAAGGCGUCGACGGGUAGCCGGCCUGAGAGGGUGACGGCCACAUUGGGACUGAGAUACGGCCCAG
rnacentral:rRNA from 1 species